GCUGGCUGUGAUUGAGCCUUGUGAUCACAAGUGAGACCAGUAAGGUCAGAGGCUGGAUGGCUCAAUGGAAACCAGGAAAAAGGAAAACACUCGGACGUGCCUUGCUUACUGGGAGAAUCCUUAAGUCUCAGCUCAAGCAAUGGAAGCCUUCACCUCCUCCAUGACAUCUUCUUUGAUCUCCUGAGAUGAGAGCGUUCUCUCCCUCCUUACAUUUUCCUAGAUCACUUUGCUGGAUGUCUCCUAUUACACCCCACCUAGUGGCUGAUGCUGGGUCCCCCUGUCAGGGAUGGAAGGAAGGGUGAUUAAGGUCCUUGGGCAUGGGGCAAGGUCUGCAUUCUCAGUCCCCUGAGUCUCACCCCCAGGGGGGAAGCUGAUUGAAAGCAGAUGCCCCUACAGCCCAGACUUUGGUAGGGACGGACUGAACCAGCUCCCACCAGCACUAACCAGCUCCCCUCACCACCGGCAUGUCCUGGGGGCCGCAGACUCUCUGUCAGCAAAGCCGCAUCCGUCCUGCAGUGGGGAGAGGUCACCGUGGCUACCCUCACCUCCAACCCAGCAAUUUAACCACCAUGCUCUGGCUGCCCAUGCAGGGACCCACCAAGGAUCCAGACCACAGACCCAUCCCUAUGCCUGCUCCAAGGGAGAGCCACUGCUACACAAGGCAGAGAGUGAAGUGGGCAAAGGAGACAUUUAUACAACGUGGUGCGGAAAAAUUUGAGACUGUAAUCUCAUCUUGGGCAGAUCAGGAAAGAUUCUGUGGAUGAAGUGGCACCUUGAAGGAGGAAAAUUCUGAACAGGAGUGAUGAGGAAGGAAUGCAUUCCAGAUAAGGGAACAGGCUGAGUCUGAGCAAAUAUGCAUGGAACUAGUAAGGAGGCAGCAUGUCCAGUUUGGGGGAAGCUAGUAGUCUAGUUUGGCUGAGAUACAUUCUGAAUGAAGGGAAGUAACUGGGAAAUAAACACUGGAAAGGUAGAGCCAAGUUAUGAAGGGCCUCAAAUGUGAGGCAGAGAAGUUUCUAGUCUGUCUUAGAGGUGAUAGAGAGACACUUAAAGUUGUCAUUACUGUUGUUUUUAGCAAAGGAAUGACAUUAUCAGACUUGUGCCUUAAGAAAAUUAUUUUGUCAACUAUGUUUAGAGUCAAUUGGAGGGGAGAAAUGGGGCAGGGAGACCAAUUAGGAGGGUAUUACAGUAGUUUAGGAAAGAGAUAUGGGAGACCUAAAUAGCAGUGCUGGCAAGAUGAAUAGAGAAAAGGGGAUGCGUGUGACAGAUGUCAAUGAUUUCCCUCUUCUCCUCCCCCCUUACCCUUACCCCAUAUUGCUUACCAGUAAUUACUUACUAACAAUCUGAAGUGGAAUGGGCUACUUGGAAAAAGGGAGGAAUCCCUACUAUCCGAGGCCUUCAAGCAGAGGCUAGAACACCACUUGCUCUAGCCAGCAAAGAUGUAGGGAGGAUUCUUGUUUAGGUACAGAUUGGACUAGAUGACCUUACUAGUUGGUUCCAACUCUGACAGCUUGUCCUUCCUCCAGAUGAACCCCUAUCUGCUGAAUGUAAGACCCCUAGCUACGUGAGGCUGUUCAUAGUUCUCUGUAUGCAGAGGCUGGAAAACCAACCAGUCAGUU